rnacentral:lncRNA from 1 species
UCACGAAUCCUGCGCAUUACAAACGUCACAUGCUUAUGACGUUUACGUCGUCCUUCGAAACUAUAGGUGAUCAAUGGAAAAGACAGGAAAGUAAAAGAGUCCAAGAGCGUUGUAGAUGCUUCAUUUGCAUAGAUAAUUCAUAAAUUAGCAAGAUGUCGUCGGUGGAAAAAUCUCUCAUAGAGACUGAGUUGAUAAAAGAGAAAUCUGAAACCGUCAAAAAAGAUUCUAAAGUCUCUUGGUUUAUUUGUUUCAAUGGAUGGUUGACCCAAAUCUUGAUUUUGGGGGUCUUGCAUGGAUUCGGUGUGUUCUUUGUGGAAUUUACGAAGGACUUCAAAUCUUCAAAAUCAAAAGCUGG